rnacentral:rRNA from 1 species
GAUGAACGCUGGCGGCGUGCCUAAUACAUGCAAGUCGAGCGAACAGAUGAGGAGCUUGCUCCUCUGACGUUAGCGGCGGACGGGUGAGUAACACGUGGAUAACCUACCUAUAAGACUGGGAUAACUUCGGGAAACCGGAGCUAAUACCGGAUAAUAUAUUGAACCGCAUGGUUCAAUAGUGAAAGACGGUUUUGCUGUCACUUAUAGAUGGAUCCGCGCCGCAUUAGCUAGUUGGUAAGGUAACGGCUUACCAAGGCGACGAUGCGUAGCCGACCUGAGAGGGUGAUCGGCUACACUGGAACUGAGACACGGUCCAGACUCCUACGGGAGGCAGCAGUAGGGAAUCUUCCGCAAUGGGCGAAAGCCUGACGGAGCAACGCCGCGUGAGUGAUGAAGGUCUUCGGAUCGUAAAACUCUGUUAUUAGGGAAGAACAAAUGUGUAAGUAACUAUGCACGUCUUGACGGUACCUAAUCAGAAAGCCACGGCUAACUACGUG